GUUGUAGUGGCCAAGUGGUUAAGGAGAUGGACUCGAAUUCCAUUGGGGUGUCCCUGCCCAGGUUAAAAUCCUGCCGAUAACG
rnacentral:tRNA from 1 species